rnacentral:rRNA from 1 species
UACGGAGGGGGCGAACGUUGUUCGGAAUUACUGGGCGUAAAGGGUGCGUAGGCGGUUCGGCCAGUCUGAUGUGAAAGCCCAUAGCUCAACUAUGGAUCCGCAUUGGAAACUACCGAGCUCGAGAGCGGAAGAGGCAGGUGGAAUUCCUGGUGUAGCGGUGGAAUGCGUAGAUAUCAGGAAGAACACUCGUGGCGAAGGCGGCCUGCUGGUCCGUUUCUGACGCUGAGGCACGAAAGCCAGGGGAGCGAACGGGAUUAGAUACCCCGGUAGUCCUGGCUGUAAACGGUGAACACUGGGUGUCGGGGGUAUCGACCCCCUCGGUGCCGGAGCUAACGCGUUAAGUGUUCCGCCUGGGGAGUACGACCGCAAGGUUGAA